UACAGAGGGUGCAAGCGUUAAUCGGAAUUACUGGGCGUAAAGCGUGCGUAGACGGUUGCGUAAGUCAGAUGUGAAAGCCCCGGGCUCAACCUGGGAAUUGCGAUGAAGACUGCAAGGCUAGAGUUUGGCAGAGGGGGGUAGAAUUCCACGUGUAGCAGUGAAAUGCGUAGAUAUGUGGAGGAACACCGAUGGCGAAGGCAGCCCCCUGGGUCAAAACUGACGCUCAUGCACGAAAGCGUGGGGAGCAAACAGG
rnacentral:rRNA from 1 species